rnacentral:tRNA from 1 species
GGGUGGUUAGCUCAGCGGUAGAGCACUGUCCUCACACGACAGGGGUCACAGGUUCAAAUCCUGUACCACCCA